CUGGUCUUGUAAGCUGCUGGAGAGAAGAAGAUUCCACCAAGUACAAUUAGCAGCGAUGCAGACAUGAAGGAGAAGGCGCCCGCUGCCUCCCCUGCCUAAUCCCAGACGCCGUACAUUCCCAGUAGAAGGAAAAAAACAAUACAAGAUCACGAAUGUACAGGAACAUCAUGCAUAGAAUCUAUAGGAUCAGACUGUAUAAGUACCGGGGAGACCGCGAAGACUUUCAUUCGGAAAGAAAGCGAAUCAUUACCAUUGUACACAGGGGUCACCCGCUCAUUGUGGAGCAUUGUCAAGGUGAAGUUUAGUUUUUCUACUCUUCAAAAUUAAAAGAAAAAGACGGUUUUGUGUUUUAAUAAGCCGGGUUAAGGGAAAUAUGAAAGACGUUUGCAAUGUAUUCCUUUAGUCUAGGGGUCCUCGGAGGAUGGCGAUAGCAUCAAGACGGGGGAAUUGCCGGAAAUUGUUAUUUUUUUUUUUUUUUUC